ACUAGUUGUCGGGUUUUAAUUAACUUGGUAACGCAGCUAACGCGUGAAGUAGACCGCCUGGGGAGUACGGUCGCAAGAUUAAAACUCAAAGGAAUUGACGGGGACCCGCACAAGCGGUGGAUGAUGUGGAUUAAUUCGAUGCAACGCGAAAAACCUUACCUACCCUUGACAUGUACGGAAGGCCGAAGAGAUUUGGCUGUGCUCGAAAGAGAACCGUAACACAGGUGCUGCAUGGCUGUCGUCAGCUCGUGUCGUGAGAUGUUGGGUUAAGUCCCGCAACGAGCGCAACCCUUGUCAUUAGUUGCUACGAAAGGGCACUCUAAUGAGACUGCCGGUGACAAACCGGAGGAAGGUGGGGAUGACGUCAAGUCCUCAUGGCCCUUAUGGGUAGGGCUUCACACGUCAUACAAUGGUACAUACAGAGCGCCGCCAACCCGCGAGGGGGAGCUAAUCGCAGAAAGUGUAUCGUAGUCCGGAUUGUAGUCUGCAACUCGACUACAUGAAGUUGGAAUCGCUAGUAAUCGCGGAUCAGCAUGUCGCGGUGAAUACGUUCCCGGGUCUUGUACACACCGCCCGUCACACCAUGGGAGCGGGUUUUACCAGAAGUAGGUAGCUUAACCGCAAGGAGGGCGCUUACCACGGUAGGAUUCGUGACUGGGGUGAAGUCGUAACAAGGUAGCCGUAUCGGAAGGUGC
rnacentral:rRNA from 1 species